rnacentral:sRNA from 1 species
AAUGCAGAGAGUCUUGUUCUCGGUGCACCUCAAAUGACGUCUGUACAUCAUGUACAUCGGGACAUUAUGGAUCUUACUGUCAGCACAUAUGUUCAGACGGGUGUAUAAAUGGUGAAUGUAAUAACAACGAUGGAUCGUGUUUGUGCAAAUCUGGCUUUGCGGGAAGUCAAUGCGAUGAAUGCGCGACUGGCAGGCAUGGCGAUCAUUGUGACAAACAUUGUUCCGGUGCUUGCAAAGACUUGCGAUGUAAUACAGGUACGGGACAUUGCUUAGAAUGUAAAGCAGUAAAUAUUACAGGAGAUUUCUGUGAAAUAUGCGUGGAAGGUAUGUGGGGUACAGAUUGUUCAUCAACAUGUCCAGAAAAUUGUGAUGGACAAUGUUUAAGGAAAUCUGGGUACUGUAAAUCAUGUGAAGCAAAUUUCCAAGGCAAUUUAUGUGACGAAUGUUCUGCGGGGUAUCAUGGUGAGAUGUGCGAUAAGGUCUGUCCUGGACGGUGUUAUGUUUCUUAUUGUUUUCCCUCCAACGGAACAUGUAGAACAUGUAAUCAAAACUAUGCCGGACCAUCUUGCGAAGACUGUGCCGCUGGCAUGUAUGGUCA